rnacentral:lncRNA from 1 species
CCUGGCGAGAGUUCUGGGUACUUGCCUCAUGAGAGGGUUGUGUCUGGAGGAUCUCCUAAGCAUCCCAUAGAGCAGGCUGCCUGUAGUGGAGCCCGGCGCAGGAGGCGGGACCCUGAGCUUCCCUCGGAGAGUACAACACAGAAGAGGAAAAAUGGCCAUUGUCCAUCUAGAAGGGAAAUUUGAGAAAUCAGGGAUGUUUAAUGAUGUUGCUUUUGACUUCUCUAAGGCUUGCCCUCUGAACAAGGACUUGUCUUCAAAAUAGCACACCAAGGGAUCAGAAUUGUGUCAGUGGGAAAUGAGUGAGACAUUCGAAAACUGUAUACCUAAGACUAAUUCUAGAAAAUAUUUGGAAGUUAGAGUUAGAGAGGGAACAAGAAAAUCCGA